UGGCGGACGGGUGAGUAACGCGUGGGCAACCUGCCUUACACAGGGGGACAACAGCUGGAAACGGCUGCUAAUACCGCAUAAGCGCACGGUCUCGCAUGAGACAGUGUGAAAAACUCCGGUGGUGUAAGAUGGGCCCGCGUCUGAUUAGCUGGUUGGUGGGGUAACGGCCUACCAAGGCGACGAUCAGUAGCCGACCUGAGAGGGUGACCGGCCACAUUGGGACUGAGACACGGCCCAAACUCCUACGGAAGGCAGCAG
rnacentral:rRNA from 1 species